rnacentral:rRNA from 1 species
GACGAACGCUGGCGGCGUGCUUAACACAUGCAAGUCGAACGAUGAAGCUGGAGCUUGCUCUGGCGGAUUAGUGGCGAACGGGUGAGUAACACGUGAGAAAUCUGCCCUUGACUCUGGGAUAACUGCGGGAAACUGUAGCUAAUACCGGAUACUUUCCCUGGUGGGCAUCCACUGGGGAAGAAAGAAUUUCGGUCAAGGAUGAUCUCGCGGCCUAUCAGCUUGUUGGUGAGGUAAUGGCUCACCAAGGCGACGACGGGUAGCCAGCCUGAGAGGGUGACCGGCCACACUGGGACUGAGACACGGCCCAGACUCCUACGGGAGGCAGCAGUGGGGAAUAUUGCACAAUGGGCGCAAGCCUGACGCAGCAACGCCGCGUGAGGGAUGAAGGCCUUCGGGUUGUAAACCUCUUUUAGCAGGGAAGAAGCGAAAGUGACGGUACCUGCAGAAAAAGCACCGGCUAACUACGUGCCAGCAGCCGCCGUAA